CUACGGGUGGCUCCAGUUAGGGAUCUUUUACAAUGCACGCAAGUGUGAUAAAGUGAGCCAGAGUGUUUUUCUUAAUAGAAAAACUUUUGUCUGUUGUAAAAAGACAGACGAAUAAGGACUGGGAGAUAUCGGUGCCAGCCGCCGCGGUAAUACCGAAAGUCCAAGUUGCAGCCACAAUUAUUGGGUCUAAAACAUUCGUAGCUUGUUUAGUAAGUUUUUUGUGAAAUCUCAUCUCUUAAGGGUGAGGCUUGCAGAAAGUACUGCUGAGCUAGAGACUGGGAGAAGCGAGAAGUAUAGCUGAGGUAGUGGUAAAAUAUGUUAAUCUUGGCUAGACUAACAACAGCGAAGGCAUCUCGCUAGCACAGAUCUGACAGUGAGGAAUGAAGGCUAGGGUCGCAAAACGGAUUAGAUACCCCCGUAGUC
rnacentral:rRNA from 1 species